rnacentral:ncRNA from 1 species
UAGCCGGUGAAAGUCCGGUCCGGAUAAUCGCCAGGGAGCCUGGUAGCAGACGGCCGGUACUCAGGGGAAACGACGGGUAUCGAAGCGCCGUGUCAAAAGCCCCUUUGGGGGAGCAACCGGUCGGUCUGUAGCAUCA